rnacentral:rRNA from 1 species
UGGACGUCGAGGACGAACGGCCUGGGCGGCGGUGGAUUAGGCAAUGCGAAAGUCGGGACGGUAGGGCUUUAUCGUAAGAUAGAGUUUGAGAGUAGGCGAACGGGUGAGUAACACGUAGGAAUCUACCCCUUAAGACGGGGACAACCCCAGGGGAAACUUGGGCUAAUACCGGAAUGAGAGUGCGAGAGAUUGCAUUUAAAAGGAUGGCGAAAGUUGUCGCUUAGGGAUGAGCCUGCGGUCUAUUAGUUAGUUGGUGAGGUAAGAGCUCACCAAGGCGAUGAUAGAUAGGCGGCCUUAACGGGUGGUCGCCCACACUGGGAUUGAGAUACGGCCCAGACUCCUACGGGAGGCAGCAGUCGAGAAUAGUCUACAAUGGCCGGAAGGCUGAUAGUGCGACGCCGCGUGAACGAGGGAGCCCUUCGGGGUGUAAAGUUCUUUUCUAUACGAGCAGUGCUAUAUAUAUGGAUAGUAUAUAUAGAGGGAUAGUAGUAUAGGAAUAAGCAACGGCUAACUCCGUG